CUUCCGUAGGUGAACCUGCGGCAAGGAUCAUUG
rnacentral:rRNA from 1 species